ensembl:lncRNA
GAUCAUUGUUUGAGUAUGGGAUUUCUGAUUAUUUGUGGUCACUGAACGCACCACUGUGCCGUGCGCAUAGCCACUCUCUAGUCCAGCUACAGAGUUUUUCCUUCCGUUCGUCCGAUGAGGCGCAUACUGCUCUCGUGCCCUCUACGAGCUGGAAAUUCGGGAAAAAGUCUUGUAGCGGUUACAAAUGUGAAGCGGAGCUGAGUCCGACAGCAUUCGCCAUUACACGAACUCCUCUGGCUGGUUUGUUUGCCCUUUUGGUGCCCUGGAUCCUACUGGAUGAACUGCCUUGUGGAAGUCCUCAUCUGAUGACUCUGCCGGACCGUCCUGGCAAAUAGAUGGUCGUUGCUGCUUGCUGGAUGCUAUUAUUGGAUGCUACACCGUUCCAACAGAGCGGUAGGAACAAUUCAAAGGGCCCCAACGAUGCGCUUUAUUUUUCCCUGAGCUCAGAGAAACUGUGAUUCUGGGUUAAACAUCGGGGUGAAAUUGAUGACACUGACACCUAGUGAACUGCCCAAGGUCAACAGUCCUGAUUUCCACGCAUUAAAGGUUUGGCAUCCACGCCACAGCCGAAUCAUGACACGUUGGUGAAAAUAAGAAUCUGCAGAUGCAACAUAUGGAACUAUCAGCUGACUGUUAGCAGAGCUAACGAAAUUACCGAAAAGAAUGGAGCACUUUAGCGAACACGUUCUAUGCUGACAACCUGAGCACACAUGUGAAGAUUACGCCACUACAUUCAAUAUCAAAACAAUAUUUAAAGUGUAGUUGGUGACAGAAAAAUUUUAAAACUUUUACUUACAGUUUAGAUCACCACCACCAUUGUUGCUUGUGAAUUGAAAUGAUGUAUUAUUGUAGGGUCUACCUUACAGUAUAAAACACCUUGAGGCAACUGUUGUUGUGAUUUGGCACUAUAUAAAUAAAAUUGAAUUGAAAUGCAUUCUGGGAUACCUGGCUGCCUCAAGUCCACACUACCACCAGUUCAUAGCAAUUAAUUAUCUUGGAACCUUGGUCAAUUAAGGGUUAAACUGUUGUUAAACAUCAGCCGUUCUGCUGUAACAACAAUGCUUUGUGGAAACUAAAGUCAACUAUUGAAGAACACUGUUCACAUCUGGGUUCUUUCUCAUCCAUGGUAAAAGCUGCUGCUCAGACUCUUUGGUUAUUUUUUGACCAAUAUUUGACUUUUUAUGCUCACAUCAAGUCUGUAACCCACUCUAGCUUUUACCAUUUAAGAAAUAUGGCUAAAGUCAGGACUGUUGUCUCCAAA